UACGGAGGGCGCAAGCGUAGAUCGGAAUCAUUGGGCGUAAGGCGCGUGUCGACGGUCUGGUCAGUCGGGUGUGAAAUACCGGAGCUCAACUCCGGAACUGCAUUCGAUACUGACAGGCUAGAGUCCCGGAGAGGGUGGUGGAAUUCCCGGUGUAGAGGUGAAAUUCGUAGAUAUCGGGAGGAACUCUAGCGGCGAAGGCGGCCGCCUGGACGGUGACUGACGCUGAGACGGGAAAGCGUGGGGAGCAAACAGU
rnacentral:rRNA from 1 species